GGUCAAGCGAACAAGUGCAUGUGGUGGAUGCCUUGGCGAUCACAGGCGAUGAAGGACGCGGUAGCCUGCGAAAAGCUUCGGGGAGCUGGCAAACAAGCUUUGAUCCGGAGAUGUCCGAAUGGGGAAACCCGGCCCGAAUGGGUCAUCCCUGACUGAAUACAUAGGUCAGGGAAGCGAACGCGGCGAACUGAAACAUCUAAGUAGCUGCAGGAACAGAAAUCAACCGAGAUUCCCAGAGUAGUGGCGAACGAAAUGGGAAGAGCCUUGUACUCUUUAGCAGCAUUGUUAGCAGAACGGGAUGGAAAGCCCGGCCAUAGCAGGUGAUAGCCCUGUAUGCGAAAACAGCGUUGUGGAACUAGGUGUACGACAAGUAGGGCGGGACACGUGAAAUCCUGUCUGAAGAUGGGGGGACCAUCCUCCAAGGCUAAAUACUCGUGAUCGACCGAUAGUGAACCAGUACCGUGAGGGAAAGGCGAAAAGAACCCCGGGAGGGGAGUGAAAUAGAUCCUGAAACCGCAUGCAUACAAACAGUCGGAGCCUGGAAACGGGUGACGGCGUACCUUUUGUAUAAUGGGUCAGCGACUUACAUUCAGUGGCAAGCUUAACCGAUUAGGGAAGGCGUAGCGAAAGCGAGUCCGAAUAGGGCGUUCAGUCGCUGGGUGUAGACCCGAAACCAGACGAUCUAUCCAUGGCCAGGUUGAAGGUGCGGUAACACGUACUGGAGGACCGAACCCACUAACGUUGAAAAGUUAGGGGAUGAGCUGUGGAUAGGGGUGAAAGGCUAAACAAGUCUGGAAAUAGCUGGUUCUCUCCGAAAACUAUUUAGGUAGUGCCUCGUGUCUCACCUUCGGGGGUAGAGCACUGUCAUGGUUGGGGGGUCUAUUGCUGAUUACCCCGCCAUAGCAAACUCCGAAUACCGAAGAGUGCAAUCACGGGAGACAGACAUCGGGUGCUAACGUCCGGUGUCAAGAGGGAAACAACCCAGACCGCCAGCUAAGGUCCCUAAGAUUGGCUAAGUGGGAAACGAAGUGGGAAGGCUAAAACAGUCAGGAGGUUGGCUUAGAAGCAGCCAUCCUUUAAAGAAAGCGUAAUAGCUCACUGAUCGAGUCGUCCUGCGCGGAAGAUGUAACGGGGCUAAGCCAGUCACCGAAGCUGCGGAUGCACGUAAGUGCAUGGUAGGAGAGCGUUCUGUAAGCCUGUGAAGGUGUCUUGUAAAGGAUGCUGGAGGUAUCAGAAGUGCGAAUGCUGACAUGAGUAGCGAUAAAGGGGGUGAAAAGCCCCCUCGCCGUAAGCCCAAGGUUUCCUACGCAACGUUCAUCGGCGUAGGGUGAGUCGGCCCCUAAGGCGAGGCAGAGAUGCGUAGCUGAUGGGAAGCAGGUUAAUAUUCCUGCACCGUCGUAUGAUGCGAUGGGGGGACGGAUCGCGGAAGGUUGUCCGGGUGUUGGAAGUCCCGGUCCCUGCAUUGGAGAAGGCGCUUAGGCAAAUCCGGGCGCGGAAUUCAAGGAUGCGGGGCGAGCGGCCUAGUGCUGCGAAGCAAUUGGAAGUGGUUCCAAGAAAAGCCUCUAAGCUUCAGUCAUACGAGACCGUACCGCAAACCGACACAGGUGGGCGAGAUGAGUAUUCUAAGGCGCUUGAGAGAACUCGGGAGAAGGAACUCGGCAAAUUGGUACCGUAACUUCGGGAUAAGGUACGCCCUUGUAGCUUGACUGGCCUGCGCCAGGAGGGUGAAGGGUUGCAAUAAAAUGGUGGCUGCGACUGUUUAAUAAAAACACAGCACUCUGCAAACACGAAAGUGGACGUAUAGGGUGUGACGCCUGCCCGGUGCCGGAAGAUUAAAUGAUGGGGUGCAAGCUCUUGAUUGAAGUCCCGGUAAACGGCGGCCGUAACUAUAACGGUCCUAAGGUAGCGAAAUUCCUUGUCGGGUAAGUUCCGACCUGCACGAAUGGCGUAACGAUGGCCACACUGUCUCCUCCCGAGACUCAGCGAAGUUGAAGUGUUUGUGAUGAUGCAAUCUCCCCGCGGCUAGACGGAAAGACCCCAUGAACCUUUACUGUAGCUUUGCAUUGGACUUUGAACCGAUCUGUGUAGGAUAGGUGGGAGGCUUUGAAGCGUGGACGCUAGUCUGCGUGGAGCCGUCCUUGAAAUACCACCCUGGUUUGUUUGAGGUUCUAACCUUGGCCCGUGAAUCCGGGUCGGGGACAGUGCAUGGUAGGCAGUUUGACUGGGGCGGUCUCCUCCCAAAGUGUAACGGAGGAGUUCGAAGGUACGCUUGGUACGGUCGGACAUCGUACCUAAAGUGCAAUGGCAAAAGCGUGCUUAACUGCGAGACCGACAAGUCGAGCAGGUGCGAAAGCAGGACAUAGUGAUCCGGUGGUUCUGAAUGGAAGGGCCAUCGCUCAACGGAUAAAAGGUACUCUGGGGAUAACAGGCUGAUACCGCCCAAGAGUUCAUAUCGACGGCGGUGUUUGGCACCUCGAUGUCGGCUCAUCUCAUCCUGGGGCUGUAGCCGGUCCCAAGGGUAUGGCUGUUCGCCAUUUAAAGAGGUACGUGAGCUGGGUUUAAAACGUCGUGAGACAGUUUGGUCCCUAUCUGCCGUGGGCGUUGGAAUCUUGACGGGGGCUGCUCCUAGUACGAGAGGACCGGAGUGGACGUACCGCUGGUGUACCUGUUGUCUCGCCAGAGGCAUCGCAGGGUAGCUAUGUACGGAAGAGAUAACCGCUGAAAGCAUCUAAGCGGGAAACUCGCCUGAAGAUGAGGAUUCCCUGGAGCCUUGAGCUCCUUGAAGGGUCGUUCGAGACCAGGACGUUGAUAGGCUGGGUGUGGAAGCGCAGUAAUGCGUUAAGCUAACCAGUACUAAUUGCCCGUAAGGCUUGAUCCU
rnacentral:rRNA from 1 species